GCCCGGGUGGUGAAAUCGGUAGACACAAGGGAUUUAAAAUCCCUCGACCACAAGUCGUGCCGGUUCGAGUCCGGCCCCGGGCACCA
rnacentral:tRNA from 1 species